GACGAACGCUGGCGGCGUGCUUAACACAUGCAAGUCGAACGAUGAUGCUGGAGCUUGCUCCAGUUGAUUAGUGGCGAACGGGUGAGUAACACGUGAGCAAUCUGCCCUUGACUCUGGGAUAACUGCGGGAAACUGUAGCUAAUACCGGAUACUUUCACCGGAAGGCAUCUUCUGGUGAUGAAAGAAUUUCGGUCAGGGAUGAGCUCGCGGCCUAUCAGCUUGUUGGUGAGGUAACGGCUCACCAAGGCGACGAAGGGGAACCGGCCUGAGAGGGUGACCGGUCACACUGGGACUGAGACACGGCCCAGACUCCUACGGGAGGCAGCAGUGGGGAAUAUUGCACAAUGGGCGCAAGCCUGAUGCAGCAACGCCGCGUGAGGGAUGAAGGCCUUCGGGUUGUAAACCUCUUUUAGCAGGGAAGAAGCGAAAGUGACGGUACCUGCAGAAAAAGCACCGGCUAACUACGUGCCAGCAGCCGCAGUAA
rnacentral:rRNA from 1 species